CGGAUCGAUGAUGAGUAUAGGUGGAGGACUCUGAAUCAACACCCGUGAUUAAGCCCUCUGUUUACUCUGAGAUCUGU
ensembl:snoRNA SNORD113-5 small nucleolar RNA, C/D box 113-5